CGUACGAAUUCACAAGUGCGACAGAGUAUGCGCCAAAAGUAUUUAUCAUUCACUGAACCUCUACUACCCCUAGUGUAGUGUAUCAUUCGAUAGCGUGACGAGCGUUCGCGUAUUAAUCCAGUAACUUUGUCGAAUUUUGUAACCUGGCUCUUUUGCGUCAAAUCCGGUAGUUCUGAUUUUUUGCAGACUUGUUUAUGAUGUUGGCCCAAUGAAUAAUCCAAGUUUGUGACUUCGAGCGCCGAACGCAACUUUGUCAAAAAUCUAAUAAACCGCAAUUUUUUUUAGAUUUGGGCGAUUAUAACCCUAAAGUGCUAGUUUUUGGUAGUAACUUCCUAGGGCGUUUUUAAAGUAGACUAAAUUUGCUACAAUAAGACACUAGAAUUGUCUCUGUACAUCUAAUAUUUUCCGAGAUAAAGCCUUUCAAAAUUUUAUAAUUUUACAUCAGUUCUUAGCUAUAAUAUAAGGGUUAGGUUGGUAAUUUAUAUGGAAUUCAUCACCGGCACGUUCUACAAAAUAUUUAUUUUCCAUAAAAAAAUGUAUGAGUGCCUAUUUUGAAAAAUUAUUU